UGUCUGUCCUUGUGGUGUCCCUUUCUGUGUUGGAGGCUUUAUGCCUAAUAAAGAAAUUGAACUAUCACCAUGCCUUACUGGUUUUUACCUCGAGAAAGGAACCCCGAGGAAGGAAAUAUUUUGUUACCAUGAACUGAAUU